AUUGAACGCUGGCGGCAUGCCUUACACAUGCAAGUCGAACGGCAGCACGGGGGCAACCCUGGUGGCGAGUGGCGAACGGGUGAGUAAUACAUCGGAACGUGCCCUGAAGUGGGGGAUAACGUAGCGAAAGUUACGCUAAUACCGCAUAUUCUGUGAGCAGGAAAGAGGGGGAUCGCAAGACCUCUUGCUUUAGGAGCGGCCGAUGUCGGAUUAGCUAGUUGGUGAGGUAAAGGCCCACCAAGGCGACGAUCUGUAGCGGGUCUGAGAGGAUGAUCCGCCACACUGGGACUGAGACACGGCCCAGACUCCUACGGGAGGCAGCAGUGGGGAAUUUUGGACAAUGGGGGCAACCCUGAUCCAGCCAUGCCGCGUGAGUGAAGAAGGCCUUCGGUUGUAAGCUCUUUCGUCCGGGAGAAAUACGCACAGGUUAAUACCUCGUGUGGAUGACGGUACCGGACGUAAGAAGCACCGGCUAACUACGUGCCAGCAGCCGCGGU
rnacentral:rRNA from 1 species